UACGAAGGGGGCUAGCGUUGUUCGGAAUCACUGGGCGUAAAGCGCAUGCAGGCGGAUUGUUAAGUCGGGGGUGAAAUCCCGAGGCUCAACCUCGGAACUGCCUUCGAUACUGGCAAUCUUGAGUCCGGGAGAGGUGAGUGGAACUGCGAGUGUAGAGGUGAAAUUCGUAGAUAUUCGCAAGAACACCAGUGGCGAAGGCGGCUCACUGGCCCGGUACUGACGCUGAGGUGCGAAAGCUAGGGGAGCGAACAGG
rnacentral:rRNA from 1 species